rnacentral:rRNA from 1 species
ACGCUCGACACCUACGGAGGCAGCAGUUAGGAAUAUUCGUCAAUGGGGGAAACCCUGAACGAGCAAUGCCGCGUGUGUGAUGAAGGCCCUCUGGGUUGUAAAACACUGUUGUUUGGAAAGAAUUGUAUAAGUAGGAAAUGACUUAUACUUGACGGUACCAUUCAAGAAAGCCACGGCUAACUACGUGCUAGCAGCCGCGGUAAUCUGAGCGGGCUGGCAAGGC